rnacentral:rRNA from 1 species
UCGAGCGGAAACGAGAAUAGCUUGCUAUUCGGCGUCGAGCGGCGGACGGGUGAGUAAUGCAUAGGAAGUUGCCCAGUAGAGGGGGAUAACCAUUGGAAACGAUGGCUAAUACCGCAUAACCUCUUCGGAGCAAAGCGGGGGACCUUCGGGCCUCGCGCUACUGGAUACGCCUAUGUGGGAUUAGCUAGUUGGUGAGGUAAUGGCUCACCAAGGCGACGAUCCCUAGCUGGUCUGAGAGGAUGAUCAGCCACACUGGGACUGAGACACGGCCCAGACUCCUACGGGAGGCAGCAGUGGGGAAUAUUGCACAAUGGGCGAAAGCCUGAUGCAGCCAUGCCGCGUGUAUGAAGAAGGCCUUCGGGUUGUAAAGUACUUUCAGUUGUGAGGAAGGGUGUGUAGUUAAUAACUGCGCAUUUUGACGUUAGCAACAGAAGAAGCACCGGCUAACUCCGUGCCAGCAGCCGCGGUAAUACGGAGGGUGCGAGCGUUAAUCGGAAUUACUGGGCGUAAAGCGCAUGCAGGUGGUUUGUUAAGUCAGAUGUGAAAGCCCGGGGCUCAACCUCGGAAGGUCAUUUGAAACUGGCAAACUAGAGUACUGUAGAGGGGGGUAGAAUUUCAGGUGUAGCGGUGAAAUGCGUAGAGAUCUGAAGGAAUACCAGUGGCGAAGGCGGCCCCCUGGACAGAUACUGACACUCAGAUGCGAAAGCGUGGGGAGCAAACAGGAUUAGAUACCCUGGUAGUCCACGCCGUAAACGAUGUCUACUUGGAGGUUGUGGCCUUGAGCCGUGGCUUUCGGAGCUAACGCGUUAAGUAGACCGCCUGGGGAGUACGGUCGCAAGAUUAAAACUCAAAUGAAUUGACGGGGGCCCGCACAAGCGGUGGAGCAUGUGGUUUAAUUCGAUGCAACGCGCAGAACCUUACCUACUCUUGACAUCCAGAGAACUUUUCCAG